rnacentral:rRNA from 1 species
AAAUUUGGAUUAAUACCUCAUAGUGUUUUGAAUGGCAUCAUUUAAGAACUAAACAUUUAUGGGUACAAGAUGACUAUGCGUCCUAUUAGUUAGUUGGUAAGGUAACGGCUUACCAAGACAUCGAUAGGUAGGGGUCCUGAGAGGAGAUCCCCCACACUGGUACUGAGACACGGACCAGACUCCUACGGGAGGCAGCAGUGAGGAAUAUUGGACAAUGGAGGCAACUCUGAUCCAGCCAUGCCGCGUGAAGGAAGACUGCCUAUGGGUUGUAAACUUCUUUUAUAUAGGAAGAAACACUCUUACGUGUAAGAGCUUGACGGNACU